UCCAGACUCCUACGGGAGGCAGCAGUGAGGGAUAUUGGUCAAUGGGGGAAACCCUGAACCAGCAACGCCGCGUGAGGGAAGACGGUUUUCGGAUUGUAAACCUCUGUCCUCUGUGAAGAUAAUGACGGUAGCAGAGGAGGAAGCUCCGGCUAACUACGUGCCAGCAGCCGCGGUAAUACGUAGGGAGCAAGCGUUGUCCGGAUUUAUUGGGUUUAAAGGGUGCGCAGGCGGCCUGUUAAGUCAGCGGUAAAAGCCGGGGGCUCAACCCGGGCGAGCCGUUGAAACUGGCGGGCUGGAGUUGGAGAGAAGUACGCGGAAUGCGCGGUGUAGCGGUGAGAUGCUUAGAUAUCGCGCAGAACCCCGAUUGCGAAGGCAGCGUACCGGCGCCCAACUGACGCUGAAGCACGAAAGCGUGGGUAUCGAACAGGAUUAGAUACCCCGGUAA
rnacentral:rRNA from 1 species